AGAGUUUGAUCCUGGCUCAGGAUGAACGCUGGCGGCGUGCCUAACACAUGCAAGUCGAACGGAAUUUACAUGAAGCCUAGCGAUUGUAAAUUUAGUGGCGGACGGGUGAGUAACGCGUGGGUAACCUGCCUUGUACUGGGGGACAACAGUUGGAAACGACUGCUAAUACCGCAUAAGCGCACGGCUUCGCAUGAAGCAGUGUGAAAAACUCCGGUGGUACAAGAUGGACCCGNGUCUGAUUAGCUGGUUGGUGAGGUAACGGCCACCAAGGCGACGAUCAGUAGCCGGCCUGAGAGGGUGAACGGCACAUUGGGACUGAGACACGGCCCAAAAUCCUACGGGAGCA
rnacentral:rRNA from 1 species